UUAGCCUCUCCUUGUAUGUAAGCCAUUCCAUUCCCUUGAUCAUCUUUUAUGCACCUUCCAUGAACCUUUUUCAGUUCCACUAUAUCCUCUCUGAGAUGGGGCAACCAGAACUAUUCAUAAUAUUCAAGGUGUGGGCUCACCAUGGAUUUUAUAUAGUGGCAUUAUGACAUUUUCUGUCUUAACUUUCUAUCCCUUUCCUAAUGAUUAGCCUUUUUGACUGCUGCUGCACAUUGAACUGAAGUUCAGAGAAUUAUCCACCGGGACUGCAAGAUCUUUCGUGAGAGUUGCUGAUCCAUGAGUGGACCUUCCCUCAGGGGGCCUUCUCUUAUUAGGGGGCUUACAAAGGCAGCAAAGCAGCCAGGCCGCAACACAGGCGCAGGGGCUGUUUCCUUUGUGUUUAUUUUCAUGUUUACUGUAUUUAUUGAUGAUGUUGAUGCUGUUGUGCUUAUGGAACAUUUAAAGGACUUGGAACCUAGCAGAAGGGACUGGCUCUGACUGACUCUGUGGAACUUUUGCGACACAGCACCUUUAUAAGGGCUGCACGCCUGUCAGCAGUUGCUGUUCGUUAGAGAGGCAGCUGGUAACAGUCUAUCUGCACGGGUUUCCUUCACCACAGAUCAUCGUCAUCGCCAAUCCUCACCAUUGAUCUGAGUCCUCUUAUGCCUGAGACUUACCUGUCGUGUGUGACCCAGGGAACCUACCAUUUGUUCCUGUGCUCCUGAUCUGCUGAAGGUCCUGUGCUCCUCCUGUCCCUGGCAACCACUGGAAGCAGUGGUAGGUCCAGGAUCCACCUAGCCCAGCUGCAGAUGACUGCUUAGGUCCAAAAGCUGCUGUGUGCAUGCAUCAUUAUCCAGUGGGUCCAUUGGGGACCUGCAAGUACAAACUUUUGGCUAUUGUCUAGGGUUGUUUGGAGACCAGGCUUCAGGCCCACUGUUGGGGCAAACCACUGAGUUAUUUUCCCUUUCCCCCUUGCAUUCCCUGGUAUUGUUAAAUUCCCUAAAUAAACCCUGUUUGUUUUGAAAGAUA